rnacentral:rRNA from 1 species
GUUUCCUACGGGGGGCAGCAGUGGGGAAUAUUGCGCAAUGGGGGCAACCCUGACGCAGCAACGCCGCGUGCAGGAAGAAGGUCUUCGGAUUGUAAACUGUUGUCGCAAGGGAAGAAGACAGUGACGGUACCUUGUGAGAAAGUCACGGCUAACUACGUGCCAGCAGCCGCGGUAAUACGUAGGUGGCAAGCGUUAUCCGGAUUUAUUGGGUGUAAAGGGCGUGUAGGCGGGAACGCAAGUCAGAUGUGAAAACUCAGGGCUCAACCCUGAGCCUGCAUUUGAAACUGUGUUUCUUGAGUGCUGGG